rnacentral:tRNA from 1 species
AUUUAUAUAAUAUAAAUUAUUAUAUUUGACUUCCAAUCAAAAAAUCGAAUUUUUCGUAUAAAUA